rnacentral:rRNA from 1 species
UGAGGAAUAUUGCACAAUGGGCGCAAGCCUGAUGCAGCGACGCCGCGUGUGGGAUGAAGGGGCUACGCCUCGUAAACCACUGUAGCCCGGGACGAAAAACGCCUUAGAGGCGUUAGACGGUACCGGGAAAGUACGGGUCGGCUAACUCCGUGCCAGCCGCCGCGGUAAUACGUAGGACCCAAGCGUUGUCCGGCUUUACUGGGCGUAAAGGGUGCGCAGGCGGAUGGGUAAGUCAGGGGUGAAAGUCUCCAGCUUAACUGUAGAAUUGCGUUUGAUACUGCUCAUCUUGAGUGUGGGAGAGGUUGAUAGAAGUCCAGGUGCAGCAGUGAAAUGCGUAGAUAUCUGGAAGAACACCAGUGGCGAAGGCGGUCAACUGGCCCAGAACUGACGCUCAUGCACGAAAGCGUGGGGAGCAAACA